UCCAGACUCCUACGGGAGGCAGCAGUGGGGAAUAUUGCGCAAUGGGGGAAACCCUGACGCAGCAACGCCGCGUGAGUGAAGAAGGCCUUCGGGUUGUAAAGCUCUUUAAUCAGGGACGAAGAAUGACGGUACCUGAGGAAUAAGCUCCGGCUAACUACGUGCCAGCAGCCGCGGUAAUACGUAGGGAGCAAGCGUUAUCCGGAUUUAUUGGGUUUAAAGGGUGCGCAGGCGGCACGGCAAGCCGGCGGUCAAAUCGCGGGGCUCAACCCCGCCCAGCCGUCGGAACUGCCGGGCUAGAGUGGGCGAGAAGUGCGCGGAAUGCGUGGUGUAGCGGUGAAAUGCAUAGAUAUCACGCAGAACUCCGAUUGCGAAGGCAGCGCACCGGCGCCCUACUGACGCUCAGGCACGAAAGCGUGGGUAUCGAACAGGAUUAGAUACCCGCGUA
rnacentral:rRNA from 1 species